GGAUGUGAGGGCAAUCUGGCUGCAAUAUCUGUCACCCCAUUGAUAACCAGGCUUGAUUCGGCUGAUCUGGCUGGCUAGGCCGGUGUCCCCUUCCUCCUUCAUCAUUCUACGUGCAUCCCUCCCGAAGCUGCGUGGUUGGUCCAAGAGGACGCCCUUCUCCGAAUACAGGAGGAUGGGUCUUAAGUCAAGGGUAUAUGAGUAGCUGCGUUCCCCUGGUAGAACCUCCAAACAAGCUCUCAAAAGCAAGAAGGGGCUUGCGUGACCCCAGUCUCUUGCUUUUUCUUUCCUUUACUUGCUGGCUGUGAGAUGAGCAUUUUGGU
rnacentral:snRNA from 1 species